rnacentral:rRNA from 1 species
AAUGGGCUGCCGAAAAUACUGCUAGAAUUAGGGCAGUGGGAGAGGUAGACGGUACUCGGGAGGAAGGGGUAAAAUCCUUUGAUUCUAUUGAUGACCACCUGUGGCGAAGGCGGUCUACCAGAACACGUUCGACGGUGAGGGAUGAAAGCUGGGGGAGCAAACCGGAUUAGAUACCCGGGUAGUCCCAGCUGUAAACGAUGCAGACUCGGUGAUGCCCUGGCUUGUGGCCAGUGCAGUGCCGCAGGGAAGCCGUUAAGUUUGCCGCCUGGGAAGUACGUACGCAAGUAUGAAACUUAAAGGAAUUGGCGGGGGAGCACCACAAGGGGUGAAGCCUGCGGUUCAAUUGGAGUCAACGCCAGAAAUCUUACCCGAAGAGACAGCAGAAUGAAGGUCAAGCUGGAGACUUUACCAGACAAGCUGAGAAGUGGUGCAUGGCCGUCGCCAGCUCGUGCCGUGAGAUGUCCUGUUAAGUCAGGUAACGAGCGAGAUCCCUGCCUCUAGUUGCCACCAUUACUCUCAGGAGUAGUGGGGCGAAUUAGCGGGACCGCCGUAGUUAAUACGGAGGAAGGAAGGGGCCACGGCAGGUCAGUAUGCCCUGAAACUUUGGGGCCACACGCGGGCUGCAAUGGUAGCGACAAUGGGUUCCUAAUCCGAAAGGUGGAGGUAAUCCUCAAACGCUACCACAGUUAUGAUUGAGGGCUGCAACUCGCCCUCAUGAAUAUGGAAUCCCUAGUAACUGCGUGUCAUUAUCGCGCGGUGAAUA